AGAUUUCUCCGACAAACUUAUUUUUUAUGCCCAUCGAUGUUUUAAGAAAAACAGAAUAGGAAAGAAAAAAUUCAUCUUUCGACGUUUCUUCUCCUUUCUCAGAUGCUGAACCAAUUGCCAUGGCGAUUUGAAGCUAGAGAAAUCAUAAAAUCCAUUCUGUUAAACGCUGUAACGAUUGCUUGAAUAGGAGAAUACUGAGGGUAGCAAAUCUGAUUUAGAAGAGUCAAACCGAUGGUUAGAAACUCUGUUGAUUCACCAAGGACUUCUCCUAUUCCGAUCUCGUAAGAUACGAAGUCAAUAGUGAGAAGAACGAUGAUUUUGAGAUGGUUGUCGAUUUUGUCAAAUCAGAUAUCUAUGACAAAGAGAUAAUAAGAUUUGAAAGACAAUAAACGAUUGGAAUGGUUUUUAAUAGUCAGAAGGAGAUCUGAAGCUGAUCUUUUAAAAUUUAUUCGAAAACAUGUAUGGAAUAAUCUCCAGCCAAAUAACACUGGAAACAAAUAGAAAAAUAUAUUUUUGAAGUAUUAUCAACCAGUUCCAGAUACAAAGAUUGUGAAUUUCAAUAUUCUAUGAAGAUAACCAUGACUUUAAUAUUAAAGAUGAGUAGUUAUUUCUUGAAACUUUGUUUUCUUUUACAUCAGAAUAUAUUUUGUGUUUCGUCUAGCAAAGAGAAAUAAGACUUAUAUUGGGUUUUGUUUGCAGGAGAGAUAAUGGGAUGAUUCAGUAAGGAAAUAAUAGCAUAAGUACAUCAAACCCGAUAGAAGAUAAGUUUUACAGACUUUGGCAUGCAUUUUAAAGUCAUUUUAAAGUCAUGUUUAUAGUAUAGAUGUUUGGUUGAUUUUGGUUAAACCCUGAUUUUGGUGGAGGAGAAAACAACAAAUUUAAUAAUAUCACUUCCAAUUUUAGUAUAA